rnacentral:misc_RNA from 1 species
UUGAUUGAUUCGCUAUCGCUCGGACGUCACUGAUCAACAGAGUUGGAGGGGUCUUCGGCGGGCGCGCGUCCACCGAGGUCGACGGGGGGCGCGGGGGCCCCGCGGCCCGCCAAAGCAACAAAAGGUAGGUACGCAUCGGGUGGAGGUUCGGGCCCCGAGGGACCCUAUCUCGGUAAUGAUCCUUCCGCAGGUUCACCUACGGAAA